ensembl:lincRNA
GUGGGAGAUUUACUGCCAUAGUUGUUAAAGCGCCACUAUCAUCACCACCUCCACAAUCUCCAAACAGUCGGCCAGGUGUUCCUAGUUUGCAGUGAUUUAAUCCUCAUGAAUUUUUAUUUAAUUUUAUAAAUUGUACUUGCUCAAUUAAAAAAAAAAAAAACCUCCUCAUUGGAGAAGAACUCCACAACCCUGUCCCUGCAGCCCCUCCACAACGCUGACUUAGAGAAAGCAGAAUGCUACUUGGGGGGAGCCCACACCUCAAGACUUCAGCUCCUCGCACCGGAAAGAGGAGCCGCUGCUUCCUCGGAGCCUGCCUGCCCUUGACGGCGGACGAGACCCUGCUCACCCCUGCGCAGCCUCUGGACGGCGGGCAGCGGCUCACCCGCUCCGGAGCGGUCCGCUCAUGGCUCACUUAACCCACGUUCCAGGGCCGCCAGGGCUGCUGAAUCUGCGCUAAAAGUGUCAGCGUGGAGACUUGCAGUGCACCAGACAGUUCAGCGCAGAUGCUACAUUAGCACAGUGGCUCCGCGCCUCCUUCUGCCCUCCCUGCAUCUUCCGCUAAAGCCCUCCUCACCGCUCUGCCCUCGCCCCAAGGGACAGGGCGGCGAAGAGCAGCCUCUGGAACCACUGCUGCCGACACACACCGCUCGCUGCGCCGCACCCUUCAUGGAGGCGACCAAGGGAGAGGACUCCAGCAUAAAGGAAUGGCGGGGAAGAUCGCAAGUGAGACAGAACCACAGUCGGCAGGGAAAAAAGGAGCAGGAGGAGACCUGAGGGGAACCUAGGCCAGAGAUACGGACGAGAACGCGCGAAGGAGCCUGCCGGGCGCACUUCCUCUGCUGUGAGACACUGCACAGCUGCUGGAACGGCCGUGCCUACCAACCCGUCUUUGAAGCUUCGCUGUGAGAAGAGGUGAGCUGGUCUGGAAGGAACUCCAGGUUUCAGAUGCCCAGCGAUCCCCUGUCGUCUGCGGACACAAGAGUGAAAAUGAGCUCCACUGAAUUCCUUGAUUUCCAAGCAACUUUCAGUUUCCUGCUGUCUCCUGGGACCCGUGGUUCUCACAGCUUGGCUUUAGUGAACUCUCUUCUCCCCCACUUGCAGUUUCCCUCAAAGCACUUCCAAGAUGCUUUGCUUCUGCUUUAAAGCUCACUGACCUUUGCAACCGGGAAGCCUGUGCCGCUGGGCCCAUAUGGCUGCCUUGCAGGCCAGAGGCCAGCAGCCAGGUUGCCCUUCCUGUAGUCUGAUUCUUUCUGUGUGUCCAUUUUCAAUUUCCAGUCACAGCCCGAUCCAUUAAAAGCUCUUAUUCUCAGCAAACCUCUUGAACAAGCUCUAAUGUGCUGUUUCUUAGUACAACGUCGCUCUUGCAUUUCAGGUCAGUGUUGGGACUAACUUAGGCACAGUGACUUAGCAUCCCCUCAUUCCUGCCCUUUCUACCUUCCCUGCAUCAGUCUUGGGUUGCUUUUCUCACACUUCCAUGCCACCAAGUCUUUUGCAAGUAGCCAUGGAAGUUUAGCAGACGGGGUAGCACUUAACAACCCAAUCUACACAAAAACAUUAGCAAAAAUGCCCGUAGGAGCAGCUCAGCUUUCUAUAGGUAUGCUCGGAGCUUCUCCAAGGACAUCCUUAGACACAGCUACCAUGCUGAGCCGGGAAAACGAACAGCCAGGUCUUCUGCAGCAUUUGUGCUCCUGCGUAUCUUCAUAAGGAGGAAAUCUCCGCUGACAUGGAGUGAUCAUCUUUUGGGGGGGAAAAACAGUUCUUAGGAUCCAAGGUCCUGC